UUGGUACUACAUGUACAGGAUAGGUGGGAGGCUUUGAAACCAGGACGCCAGUUUUGGCGGAGCCAUCCUUGGGAUACCACCCUUGUAGUACUGGGACUCUAACCAUAGGCCAUGAAUCUGGUCUUGGGACACUGUCAGGUGGGCAGUUUGACUGGGGCGGUCGCCUCCCAAAAGGUAACGGAGGCGCUCAAAGGUUCUCUCAGUACGGUCGGAAAUCGUACGUAGAGUGUAAAGGCAAAAGAGAGCUUGAUUGCAAGACAUACAGGUCGAGCAAGGAUGAAAAUCGGACUUAGUGAUCCGGUGGUUCUGCGUGGAAGGGCCAUCGCUCAACGGAUAAAAGCUACCCUGGGGAUAACAGGCUUAUCUCCCCCAAGAGUCCACAUCGACGGGGAGGUUUGGCACCUCGAUGUCGGCUCAUCACAUCCUGGGGCUGUAGUAGGUCCCAAGGGUUGGGCUGUUCGCCCAUUAAAGUGGUACGCGAGCUGGGUUCAGAACGUCGUGAGACAGUUCGGUCCCUAUCCGUCGCAGGCGUAGGAAAUUUGAGAAGACCUGUCCUUAGUACGAGAGGACCGGGAUGGACG
rnacentral:rRNA from 1 species